rnacentral:lncRNA from 1 species
GUGAGCCUGAGAUUUUUAGAAAGUCUGUGAACAUACAUUUGGCUGCUCGACAUGCGCGAAUCUGGAAGAUUCCCCAAACCUCAAGACCCUACCUGCAGCGGUCUGGGGCCUCCCUGGUGAGAUGAGACACAACACCAGUCAGGAGUCCUUGCUGCGUUUCCAAAGUGAGCUAGACGCGGUCGCGUUCAGAGAGCAGGGGCCUCGUGGAAAGCCAGGAAGCCUGAUUGCUGGCCAGAACUGGGAACACUUCUGUUCCCACGAUGUGAACCACCGCCAGGUAACUCCAGAUAUUCUUCGAUGCAUUUCGAUAAGGCAGCAUGGCUUUCUUCCAGGAAUGCCUCCAUUCAGG